rnacentral:rRNA from 1 species
CCCUACUAUGCCCAGCCGUAACACAAUAAUUAAAUCACCCAUUAUUCGCCAAAUAACUACGAGUACAGACUUAAAAUUUAAAAGACUUGACGGUACCUCAUAACAACCUAGAGGAGCCUGUCAAAUAAACCGAUACUCCACGAUUAAUUCAACCCCGCCUGGCCAAUCAGUCUAUAUACCGCCGUCGCCAGCCCACCCUGUGAAAGACAUAAAGUGGGCCAAAUAGUCACCACACUAACACGACAGGUCAAGGUGUAACUUAUGGCGGGGAUUAAGAUGGGCUACAUUUCUAAUUUAGAAAAUACGAAUAAACUAUGAAAUAAGAAACUGAAGGCGGAUUUAGCAGUAUACUAAGAAUAAAAUACCUAGUCGAAACCUAUGCAAUGAGGUGUGUACACACCGCCCGUCAUCCCUGUCACUAAACACUAACAUACAUAAUACAUGCAUUAACCAACAACAGGGCAAGUCGUA